CCUACGGGAGGCAGCAGUGAGGAAUAUUGGUCAAUGGCCGGAAGGCUGAACCAGCCAUGCCGCGUGAAGGUCAGUGCCCUAUGGGCGUUAAACUUCUUUUGUGCGGGAGCAAUAAUGGUCACGUGUGGCCAGACGAGGGUACCGUACGAAUAAGCAUCGGCUAACUCCGUGCCAGCAGCCGCGGUAAUACGGGGGAUGCAAGCGUUAUCCGGAUUUAUUGGGUUUAAAGGGUGCGUAGGCUGGGAGGUAAGUCAGCGGUGAAAUGCCCCCGCUCAACGGGGUGAAGUGCCAUUGAUACUGCCUGGCUGGAAUGCGGAUGCCGUGGGAGGAAUGUGUGGUGUAGCGGUGAAAUGCAUAGAUAUCACACAGAACACCGAUUGCGAAGGCAUCUCACGAAUCCGCGAUUGACGCUGAUGCACGAAAGCGUGGGUAUCAAACAGGAUUAGAUACCCUUGUAGUC
rnacentral:rRNA from 1 species